AGUUCUUUGCUGGAGGAGUGUGGAGGGUGUGCCUGUCCUACAGGACUCUGGGCAGAGCAGUACUGGCAGAGACUGAGGGGAAUGUGAAGGAGCUCUGGACUGGCUGCUGGGGCUCAACCAGGACAAAGCCCCAAGGCUACUGUAUGACUUUCAGUGACAAGCCCCAGGAAAUGUGCAAGGAGGUCCCACAGCACUGCAGAAAGGAGCCCCAGACCUACAGUUCCCAGACUUUCCACUGAGUGUAGCUGGGCAAAGCAGAUGGAAACGUUCACGAAAAGCUUCCCAUCUUAUUCCGUUUUUUAUCAUAACGGAUAAAGAGGUGAUGGAUCCAGAAGGAAGUGUCUUUCCAGAAGGAGGUGUCUUUCCAAACUUCACCACUUGGAUGACUUUAAUCACUGUUUUUUGAAGCAGUUAAACAUAUUGCAUCAGCUCCAGCCAGGAGAUCGGACAGCAUCAAACAAGCUUAUGAAAAAAAUUAAUCUAAUUUUGAACAAACUUAACCACACUAUGUAACCUUGUUUUUUUUUCAGUCCCAUUGUUAGACUCUUUUUACCAACUAUGUAGAAACAUACAAAGCAUCCCUACUUUUUAAUCUGUUCAGGGUUGCUUUGUGGAGGGGCAGCAACAUGCACAUUGAAAAUGGCUCCGAUCAUGCUGUGGUCUGUCCAACAGUUUGCACCUCACAUUACUCUGGUGAUCGUGCUGUCUCUGAUGUCCCUUUGCCAUUUAAUGACCUAGCCAGUCAGGUGCCAAUGCUUUGAUCUCAGGUGCAUCCAACAAGUUUUUGUGUUUGUGGUUUUUUGUUUAUUUGUCAGCAUUCCUAAGAAAUAGUGAGCGGGUGCUCAGCACACAUGCAAAGGAGACCAUUGCUUUUCAUGUUUCUGGCUCCAUUAUUCUAUAUUACACCACUCCAAGCCUGACAGUCUGAACAGAUUAAUCUGCAAUUGAAUAAAACAUCCAUUUCAUCAGGAAAACUUGGAGGAAACAACUGAUAGCAUUACAUCAUCAUGCAAUCAUAAAGUUGAAUAUAAUCAAAUUGGCCACCCUUCAAGCCUCAGAAGAACUCUAGGUAAAACUCAAAGAUGCCACCAGGACUGGUUUGAUGAAAACACUGAAAUCAAAGAUCCUAAAGGAAAAGAAUGAGGCAUUUAUAUCUUGGCAAAAUGAUAAAAAAGCAACAUAAAAUUAAGACAAGUUCAAGUACCUGCAAGCCACAACUCAAAGCUGGCUUUAUGUUCUCUGUGAUAACUGGAAAGCAGAAGAUAUACAGCAUUACACCACUACUAACAACACAACUUUGUUUUACGACUCCCUGAAGGCUAUCUAUGGUGCAUCAAAAUUGGGACCAGCUCAAAAAGUUCAGACGGCUCUACCUUAAUUAAAGACAAAAGAGGACUCUGACAGUGCAGCAAUUUACUGAGCUACUCCACCAUCAUCCUACUGGCAACCCACUGGUGAUAGAGGAACUGAUCCAGCACCCCCUGCAUGAAGAAAUUGCCCAGUUGCCUACCUCAAAGGAAGUGCAAAAUACUAUUAAAGAAAUUAAGUCAAGUAAAUCAACAGGGAAAGACAGUGUACCAGCGGAAAUCUAGAAACUUACAGGCCUUAAAACUGUCAACUAUCUACAUGAAAUUAUUAAGGAUAUCUGGGAAACUAGGAAAAUUCCUCAGGAUGUCAAAGAUGCAACCAUAGUUACAUUUUACAAAAAUAAAAACAAAUAUGACGACUGGCAACUUCUGGGGUAUCUCCCUGCUAUCUGUAGGUGGUAAACCCUUGUCUGUAUUUUGCUCAAUCAGCUUCUUGAAACAAUAUCAAACAAGCAUCUACCAGAGAUCCCCAAUGUGGUUUCAGAUCAGGUCAGAGCACCAUAGACAUAUUUGUUGUGAGGCAGAUUCAGGAAAAAUACGUUGAACAAAACAUGGAACUAUAGUCCGUAUUCAUUGGUAGUAAUAACUAAAAAAAAAAAAAAAAAAUUUGAUAUGGCAAGCAGAAAUGGCCUCUGAAAAAUUCUAGAAGUUUCACUGCCAUGCCAAAUUGCUGAACAUCAUACGUCAAUUCCAUGAAGGCAUGAUCAGUCAGGUACUCUGCUGGUGGCCUCUCUAUACCAUUCCCCUUAUCUAAUAGGGUGAAACAAGGCUGUGUGACACAAUGGACAACAUUCAAAAGGGCACAGAGAUAAGGUACAGAACUGAUGGGGAAAUAAUUCAGUCUCCAAAACCUUACUGCAAAGACAGUCCUUGAGAAACUCAUACGUGAAGCCCUUUUUUUGGAGAAGCUUGUGCUCUACUUAGUCAUUGUGAAAGUGGCCUACAGCUUAUCUCCUGACAAAUUUUCAGAAGCAACUGAAGUUUAGAUUCACCAUCAGCCUGGAAAAAACUGAAGUCCUCUUACAGCUGGCCCCAUCAACCACUCCCACUGAGUCAAACAUCAUCCUCAUCGAUGGUAUAGAACUAAAGAGUGUCAGUCACUUUGCAUAUCUUGGCAGCACUGUUGGAUAUCUCCAGUGUUGCCUCUCUGGAUCAAGAAAUAUCAAGCAGAAUACAAAAGGCAAGCCAGGCUUUUGGAAGACUUUGCUAUAGGAUACUCAACUACCCCACCACUGAACUGUCAACAACACUGAUAUGCAAUGCAGCAGUGAUUUUUAUAGGGGUGUGAAACGUGAACUGUUUACUGCAAACAUAAAGCAACUUGAAAUAUUUUGUAUGCCUUGACUUCACUGUAUUCUGAAGGGCCACUGGUGAGAACAACAUGUCAAACAUUCACCUCCUUGAAAGAGCAAAACCAACCACCAUCAAGGCAAUGAUCAUCAAAGCUCAGCUUAGAUCGACAGGUGAUGAUGUUCUCAGAAUAGGUGAUGACAGAUUCCUGAAAAAAGUCCCCUGGGGUGAGCUAAAACUCAAAGGGCAGGAAAGGCAGUGAAUGUAAAUGCUUCAGACACCCUUAAGCAGAAUCUUACCUCAUGCAGUAGAAAUAUUUGAUUUCGAAGCUACAGCCAAGGAUUGAGCUAAACCGAGGGAAAAAAAUAGAUAAAUGUUAUAAAUGCUUUGAUGAAGAUGGAUGCAAAAGAUUGUUUGUUUUGAAAAAAGGGCCAAGUAUCAUGCCAUAUCCUCAGUGGGAGCCUAUACCUUCCUGUAUGACCACAAUGUAGACUGCAUCUACAUCACAGUGGCACAGUUGCAAUACAGCAGCUGUUCCACCGUAAUGCCUGUACAGCAGAUAUAACCCAGACUAAUGUGAAGCUAUGUCAUCCCUGCCCUGAAACCCUGCAUGCCUUCUACUGUGUUGCUGAAGUAGUUCUGACCUGAGCCGCUCACAAACAGCCUUCCAGCGUGCAAGCAGCACCCUAUGUGU